rnacentral:lncRNA from 1 species
GUGAAAUCCAUCUGGGAUGGCCUUUGUGUAUGAUGUGAGGUAUGGAUGCUCUGCAGAAACACCCUAUCACAUAGCGAACAACCGUAGAAAGUGGCUUAUGAUGGACAUUGCAAACUCAAAUGCUUAAAGCGACCUCAAUAAAUGAAGUGAACCAGAUAUACAUGGACACUCAGUCCUUCUGUUUUCUCAUCGUGAUAAGAAAUAUGUUUCCACUGAAGCUGUUCCAUUUUCCUACAUGCUGCGUGAAUAGGAAGCUGUGCGACACGGAAGGCCCCAACAGGAAAUUGCAGUGAGCCCUGGAUUCACUCAGUACAGCACAAUGGAAAUAAAUAAAAGCCACCUCCCUUCUGUUGGUCCA